rnacentral:lncRNA from 1 species
ACACUUACAACUCCUGCUGACUGAAUCCGAGCAAGCCUCCUACCAGUUCCACUUCCACCGUGUAACACAACUGGUACAGCUCAAAUUUUACACUAUUUCCUUUUUUUGGUUUGGCUCGAUUUCUAGAUGCCAGAGAUCGACGGAGGCCAGCAUGAAUGUUGGAGGGGUGGCGGCAGGAACUCCAUUAAGAGAAUAAAGAUCACCGGAGCUAUUGAAGCGAGCGAUCUCGGCCUUGGUCAGGUAAUCUUUCACAGAUAAACCAAAAGGGUCAAAUUCAGCCGAAACUAGAUUGUCGCAAGUAAAUUGGCGAACAGAGAUAAGAUUUUUAAUGAGGGCGGGUGCAACUAGAACAUCGCGAAGUAAAAGAGGUUUGGUGGAAGAGGGAAGUUGAGCCUGACCAACACAAUAUAUAGGAAUAGAUGAUCCAUCUCCAAGGAUAAUGGAAGGGAAAGGAGAUUUAGUGCAAGAAGAUAACCAAUUACUAGAUGCAGACAUAUGACUAGAGGCCCCUGAAUCAAAGAUCCAAUCCGUACCUGAGUUUCCUUGUGCAGCAAAGUUAUUCAUGGCCUGGAGAAAGGCAGCUUGAUCCCAGCUCGGCGUCGCAGGUGAGGGUGGCGUCGGAAGCAGUGCCGGCGGAUACGAUGGUGAAGGCAGUAGGGCCGGCUGGGGAGUGUAGUAGGCAUUGGCCGGCUGUGGUGGGGGUGGCGUCGGGAGCAUGGCCGGCUGAGGUGUGUAGUAGGCGCCGCCGUCGGUGGUGUAAUGACCAUAAGGAGCAUACGUCGGGGCGGCGUGAUAGGCAGUGGCCGGCUGUCGGGGGUUGAGAACCCCGGGAGCACCAGUAGGCGGCCGAAGGCCGGGUUGCCAGGCACCUGAGUAUGCCGGCGGAGCACCGAGGGUGGACGGAGCGGACCAGGGCAUGGGCCAUGCUUGAACAAGCCCCGUCCAAGGAUCAUGAGGAGGCCGCCAUGCAACCGCAGAUGGAGCACUGGUGGGUGGUGCAGGACUCGGUGCUGGUGAUGUCGUAGGCGGAACCGAACGAGUCGACGGCGGCCUGUAGAUAGGGUUUUUGCCGCGGUAGUUCGGACUAGGACGCCAGCCUGGGGGCGGUUGAACAGAUGACGAUGCGGACGGCCCGGCGGUAGGAGCCGGCAUGGAAGGCGGCGCUGGUGUAGACGACAGAGGAGGACAAGCCGCAGCAUGAAAGACCUUGGGGCGAGAGUCCUUGCGAGCUUGUGUUUCCGCCGCGAGUUGUAGCAAGGAACGAACUUCAGCGAAGGUAGGAGGGGGCCGUAUCAUCGGUAUGAACGAGGCUUGCUUGUCAAAGUCUUUGCUGAGGCCGACGACGACGAUAUUGAUUAGCUGUGAGUCGCUAACUGUAUCGCCGAGUUCGCGGAGCUCAUCACCAAUGGUCUUAACGCGCUGGCAGAACAGGUUCACCGGGGCGUCUCCUUACACCAUAUUGCGAAGCUCGGUGUGGAGAGCGUUUUUCCGAGCGUCGGUGUUGCUUUGGAAGAGCUGACGGAGGGAGUGCCAGAUGUUGGCAGCGGUGGCGCCGUCGUGAUCGAGCAUGUUGAAGAUCUCGGUGGUGAUGCGGGUGUAGAACCACUGGACGAUCGCGAGAUCGUCUUUCAACCAUUGCGGAUCGUCGGGGCGGGGAAGACAGUUGGCGGCGACAUGCGAGCGCAGGUUGCAGCGGCCGAGGUGGAGGUCGAAGAGAUGUCUCCAAUGGUAGUAGUUGUGGGCGGCGAGAUCAAGAACUAUGGGGAUGUAGGGGCUGACGUCGGAGAUUGUGUCAGCAAGAGAUAUUGGUGCGGCGAGGAUGGGUGCAGGGUAGUUUUGUGGAGCUAUGGUGAGGGCCGAGAGAGAAGCGGCCGCGGCGUUGGCAGCCUUGGCGAUGAGUGCGGCCCAGCGCUCGAAGUAGCCGGGCGGCGGCGGCGGCAGUGACGUUGGCGGAGCCAUACCCUAAACCCUGGGACCGGUAUCUGAUACCAUGAAAGCUGAAUAAAACUGUUGCUUAUUGAUGAUUUGGUGCGGCAUACAAGAGUAUAUAAGAGGGUACAAACCGACUUGGGGUAGGGAUACAAAACUGGCUUGGACUAGAAGUCGUAUACCAUAAUGACUACUCUAACAAAGAGGUCAGCUAACUUCUCUUUCGUUCAGUAGUACACGCUAUUAAAUGAGAUUUUAAUUUGUACUGUAUGCAUUUGUUUUCCCCUAUCUUAUCUUCAUAUAAAAGACACACAGAUUGUGUGUUGUUGAAAAAAAAAUUUACACUUAAUCUCUCUCUGUCUUGUAACAAGAUGUUGUGUUGUACAUGUACAAUUCAUGCUAGUAGCUGGUCGUUUCCCUGGCUUUGAUCUUCAUAUCUACCUGGCACUGGCCUCGGAGCCUCCACCAUGCCGCCAGUAUAGCUUGCUCAGCUCUCCCUCUGUUUGUUUGAUUCCAUCUGGUCUGUGAAAUGUCUGUUACUGUUUUUGUCUGUCAGAGGAGAGUUGGAGUAUUCAGUAGCUUGGCAACGCUAGCAUUCUAUUUCCAGCAUGUUUUAGUAUCUAUGGAAAAUUCUAGCUUAUUCUUCGUGUUAAAUUCAUCUAGUUGCACAGCUGAUACUGUUCCCUAUAUGUAAGAGCUCUCUUAAAACACUCCAACCAAGUCAUUUGUUUCCAUUUGUAAACAUUAGAUAUUUUCAACCAGCGACAAGCUGGGGCAUUAAGUGCAUCUAUGAAUAAUGAAGCUGGAGUGAGUGCAACCAUGAACCAUCUCCUGUUGUGAAUGGACCAAGACUCGAGUACUGAAUUGACUGUGAUGUAGGUAUCUGAAGUGAGGUUGAAAACUGAGGGAUGGCUUUGGAGAUCGCAAUGGCUCGACCAUCCAUGCGGAUCUGAAGUGUGUCACCUGUGAAGGGAUCAUACUGAUAAAUGGUCAGUUCAGCAACAUCUAACAUCUCAUUUAUUUCAUAGUCCUCAUGUUAGAUUGUUACAUGCUCUGUUCUUCAGUUCCUGACAAUGUUUUCAGCUUAUGCCACCCCUGUCUAUAUAAGGAGUUCCUCCCCUUUGUGACAGAGUUUGACAUCUAAAUGCGCGAAUUGAACUAAUGCUCUAUAUGUGAUCUAAUUCAGCUGGGCAGAAGAAGACGCUAAAUUGUUUCUCUGUGUUCUCCACUUCUCUCUCUGUGCGUACUUUGUGGUAGGUUCUUUUGUCACCUACAUGUUAGACUGUUUAAUCGAUUAACUGACGCCAUACAAAGAAUUCAGUGACGAUGGCACUAACACCUGGGCAAUUCUUCAUGCAGAUCUCUGACGUUUUAAACUCUGGCGACCUUGAAGCAAACUACAACAUUAUUUCCAGAGCUCCGACAUGACCGAUCGAGGGUUUAAAAUUGACACCUGCUGGGUGGCUCAGGUCCCUUCCGUAGAAGGUGAUCGGUUCUUCACCAUGGAAUUGAUCAAGUUGAUGUCAAAUUUUCUUUUCUUUUGGACUCCAACAGAUUCCAGUCCACGGAACAUCAGGUGGCUGCAUCUUGCGCCAUUCACCAGAUCAUCGCAUGAUCUGAUCCUACUAUGUAUGUACACUUGUUCAAUUUGCUAUUGCCACUAUGGUCUGU